GACGAACGCUGGCGGCGUGCUUAACACAUGCAAGUCGAGCGGAGCGGCGAACGGGUGAGUAACGCGUGAGUAACUGCACCCCUCCCUGGGAUAACGGUUGGAAACGGCUGCUAAUACCGGAAAGUGGGGGAUGACUCGGGUCCUAUCAGCUUGUUGGUGGGGUAGUGGCGUACCAAGGCGACGACGGGUAGCCGGCCUGGGAGGGCGACGGGCCACAUUGGGCUGAGAUACGGCCCAAACGCCUACGGGGGGCAGCAGUGGGGAAGAUUGCACAAUGGGGGAAACCCUGAUGCAGCAACGCGCGGGCGGGAUGACGGCCUUCGGGUUGUGAACCGCUUUCAGCCAUGACGCGGUAGUGGCAGAAGAAGCACCGGCUAACUACGUGCCAGCAGCCGCGGUAAUUC
rnacentral:rRNA from 1 species